AUCUCUUCUGAGUGGCCCCUUCCCCGUAGGCUCAUGCGAGUAUCCUGUGGCCCAUGACCACAAUGGGGACACCUCAGACAAGGCUUCUGGAAGAAGAGCCCAGCCAGGAAUUGUCUGACUGUCCGAACACAGAGGAGGGAGACGACCUGUCAGGGCCUGCGGAUGGUGAGAGAUGUCCCACUUCUGGACCACGAGCUCUUCCUCUGACACCUGGUAGAAAGAGUCUGAACAUCAGUGUGAAACUUCCCAACCUGAGGACAAA